CCUACGGGAGGCUGCAGUGGGGAAUAUUGCACAAUGGCGGAAACGCUGAUGCAGCGACGCCGCGUGAGUGAAGAAGUAUUUCGGUACGUAAAGCUCUAUCAGCAGGGAAGAAAAAGACGGUACCUGACUAAGAAGCACCGGCUAACUACGGGACACAAGCCGCGGUAAUUAGGAGGGGGCAAGCGUUAUCCGGAUUUACUGGGUGUAAAGGGGGCGUAGACGGCAGCGCAAGUCUGAAGUGAAAGCCCAUGGUUUAACCAUGGGACGGCCUUGGAAACUGGGCAGCUGGAGUGCAGGAGAGGUAAGCGGAAUUCCUAGUGUAGCGGUGAAAUGCGUAGAUAUUAGGCAGAACACCAGUGGCGAAGGCAGCUUACUGGACUGUAACUGACGUUGAGGCUCGAAAGCGUGGGGAGCGAACAGGAUUAGAUACCCCUGUAGUC
rnacentral:rRNA from 1 species